GGAGAAAUGGCUGAGUUUGGCUUAAAGCGAUAGAUUGCUAAUCUUUUAAAGAAUUUUUUUCUUUCGAGGGUUCAAAUCCCUCUUUCUCCA
rnacentral:tRNA from 1 species